rnacentral:rRNA from 1 species
UUUGUAGUCCUGGCGUCACGAUUUGAACGCUGCGGCAUGCUUUACACAUGCAAGUCGAACGGCAGCGCGGGGCGAACCUGGCGGCGAGUGGCGAACGGUGAGUAAUAUAUCGGAACGUACCAAGAGUGGGGAUAACGUAGCGAAAGUUACGCUAAUACGCAUACGAUCUAAGGAUGAAAGCAGGGGAUCUUCGGACCUUGUGCUUCUGGAGCGGCCGAUAUCUGAUUAGCUAGUUGGUGAGGUAAAGGCUCACCAAGGCCACGAUCAGUAGCUGGUCUGAGAGGACGACCAGCCACACUGGAACUGAGACACGGUCCAGACUCCUACGGGAGGCAGCAGUGGGGAAUUUUGGACAAUGGGCGAAAGCCUGAUCCAGCAAUGCCGCGUGAGUGAAGAAGGCCUUCGGGUUGUAAAGCUCUUUUGUCAGGGAAGAAACGGCUUGGGCUAAUAUCCUGGGCUAAUGACGGUACCUGAAGAAUAAGCACCGGCUAACUACGUG